CGAGAUUAAAUUACAAAGUUAUAGCAAUACUCAGAACAGUGAGUAAAGUGGUUUAUAUUAUUUCUAUACAUGUACGUGCAUAUGUGUGUCGAAAAUAAAGGCUUUCAGAGAAAACAUUGCUCAGGUACUCGGGUCCGGGUCGAGUUUGACCCUUGAGUACCCCAGUCCAAUAUUUGGGAAUCGUGGAGACCCUACUACUCACCAACGACACAAAAUGGCGUCCCGGUCCGCGGGUUCACUUCACAGUGACGACAGACUGAGCACGUGGACAUGUCACACGAGCAGGAUAGCACAGUGCACGGGUCGGUGACCUGGUCAAACAGAGUGACAACGAUCAAGCAACAACAAGAAAAAUACAUGUACCGUAUUUCCUCUAAUAAGCGCCGGGUAUCGAAUAAGCUCCGGCCCCAAUAAGCGCCGGUGUGUAACACUACAAAAAAAUAAUAAGCGGCAGACCUCCAAUAAACGCCAGAUAGGACACCCGAAAACUGAUUACUCCCUGGCAUAAUUUUUAAAAAAUACAAAAAACUUAUUAAAAGUGGCGGUUCCCUUUUUAUUAUUUCCUGUCUUAAAACGUUAAAGUUUAAAGUUUUGUUACAGUUCGAAAUUAAAGUUUAAAAAUAAAUAAAAUUGUAAGUUUGUAGUUUUUAGCUUUGAUUUCAUAAAAUUUGUUGAAAAAAUAAAGGCCGGGUCUCCAAUAAGCGAAAGGGUCUGCGACCUUUUUGAAAUAAAUUGGCGCCCGGGCGCUUAUUAAAGGAAAUACGGUAUAUAGAAACUAAAACUCAGAUAUAUGUUAAUUAAAUAAAAUAUUUACAGGAGCAAUUUAGGUAGAACAGUGUACCAUUUGUUAAACUGAACUGUAAUUAGUAUUCACUAUUUCUUUCAAUGUAAAACAUAAGAGCAACAGAUGCAAGUUCUUUGUAACUCGUUACAUAUACAACCAAUAAAUUUACAUUUGCUUUUAUAUGGACGAAAUACCUUAAGUGAUCUCUAUAAUAAAAAAUAAUAAUAAUAAAAAAGAAUGUGUCCAAACAAUUAUUAAACAAACACAUCGUUUUGAUUAAAAAGAGUCUAAUGGUU